rnacentral:rRNA from 1 species
UGGGGAAUAUUGCACAAUGGGGGGAACCCUGAUGCAGCGACGCCGCGUGCGGGAUGACGGCCUUCGGGUUGUAAACCGCUUUCAGUAGGGAAGAAGCGAAAGUGACGGUACCUGCAGAAGAAGUACCGGCUAACUACGUGCCAGCAGCCGCGGUAAUACGUAGGGUACAAGCGUUGUCCGGAAUUAUUGGGCGUAAAGAGCUCGUAGGUGGUUGGUCACGUCUGCUGUGGAAACGCAACGCUUAACGUUGCGCGUGCAGUGGGUACGGGCUGACUAGAGUGCAGUAGGGGAGUCUGGAAUUCCUGGUGUAGCGGUGAAAUGCGCAGAUAUCAGGAGGAACACCGGUGGCGAAGGCGGGACUCUGGGCUGUAACUGACGCUGAGGAGCGAAAGCAUGGGGAGCGAACAGGAUUAGAUACCCUGGUA